UGAAAGGGAAGUUCCUCUAGUCAUUAUUAUUUUUAUUUCUCUGAUACCCUCAUUUCCAUGUAGACCUGUGAUGCUUCCCACUGUGGAAUAUUCUUUCAGCACCCUUCACUAUGCUUGCUGGAAUUCAAAUGUUACCAGAAAGGGGCCCCAUCCAGACUCCAAGAGAGAGAGUUCUUGGAUCUCGUGCAAGCAAGAAUUUGAGGAAUCAAGAUGGAAUCCAAAACUCUACAAUGGAAUGCCAAACAAGAAAAACAAAUGAAUGAAUGUACAGGAAAAUGUGGAGUGGAAAGAAAUUGGAUGGUAAAUUGUUUAGCAUCUGUUUCCAAAAUAAGGUAGGGAGCAACAUUAUCUACUGAGAG
rnacentral:lncRNA from 13 species